GUGCUUGCUCUUGCUAUACAUAUACUAAAUUUGGAAUGAUACAGAGAAGAUUAUCAUGGCCCUUAUGCAAGAAUGACAGAAUGACAUGCAAAUUCUCCAAGCCAUCU
ensembl:snRNA U6 U6 spliceosomal RNA